rnacentral:tRNA from 1 species
AAGUUCCGUGGUGAAUGUACAAAUUGAAUUGCAAAUUCAAAGAAGCAGCUUCAAUUCUGCAGGUGCUUU